rnacentral:rRNA from 1 species
CCUACGUGAGGCAGCAGUGAGGAAUAUUGGUCAAUGGACGCAAGUCUGAACCAGCCACGUCGCGUGAAGGAUGACUGCUCUCUGGUUUGUAACCUUCUUUUAUAUGGGCAUAACAUGUUCCACGUGUGGGGUUUUGUAUGUCCCCUAUGAAUAAGCAUCGGCUAACUCCGUUCCAGCAGCCGCGGUAAUAAGGAGGAUGCGAUCGUUAUCAGGCUUUAUUGGGUUUAACGGGAGAGUAGGUGUAUUGUCAAGUCAGUUGUGAAAGUUUUGGGCUCAACCGUAAAAUUGCAGUUGAAGCUGGAAGUCUUGAGUACAGUAGAGGUGGGCGGAAUGCGUGGGGUAGCGGUGAAAUGCGGAGAUAUCACGAAGAACUCCGAUUGCGAAGGCAGUUCACUGGACUGCAACUGACACUGAGGCGCGAAAGGGUGGGUAUCAAACAGGAUUAGAUACCCGGGUAGUC